rnacentral:rRNA from 1 species
UAAGAGCUUGCUCUUAUGAAGUUAGCGGCGGACGGGUGAGUAACACGUGGGUAACCUGCCCAUAAGACUGGGAUAACUCCGGGAAACCGGGGCUAAUACCGGAUAACAUUUUGAACCGCAUGGUUCGAAAUUGAAAGGCGGCUUCGGCUGUCACUUAUGGAUGGACCCGCGUCGCAUUAGCUAGUUGGUGAGGUAACGCCUCACCAAGGCAACGAUGCGUAGCCGACCUGAGAGGGUGAUCGGCCACACUGGGACUGAGACACGGCCCAGACUCCUACGGGAGGCAGCAGUAGGGAAUCUUCCGCAAUGGACGAAAGUCUGACGGAGCAACGCCGCGUGAGUGAUGAAGGCUUUCGGGUCGUAAAACUCUGUUGUUAGGGAAGAACAAGUGCUAUUUGAAUAAGCUGGCACCUUGACGGUACCUAACCGGAAAGCCACGGCUAACUACAUGCCAGCAGCCGCGGUAAUACGUAGGUGGGAAGCGUUAUCCGGAA